GCCAUCUUUCGGAAUUCCUCAUUUUCUUGUUGGGCCUUCUCGAGGCGCUUUUUGAGCUUGCGGAUCUCCUCAUCUGAUCGGAGCCUAGCUUCAGCUGCCAACCUCUCUGCUUCUAGCCUUGCAUUCUGUUCUUCCAUGAGUUGCUGUUGCAGCUUGUCAACAGUGAUAUUCAGCUUUUCCUCCACCUAUGAACAUGUGAACUGUUCAUCCCGAGUUCUCUGGAUCUCCUUUUUCAAUUCAGAUAUUUGCUCUUCUGUAUAUCCAAUAGCAUCAUGCACCUCCUGUUCUCUGGCAUUACUAUUACCUUAAUGCAAGCGAGCAUUUGAUCUGAAAAUGGCUUUCCUCCAUUAUUUGUAUUCACAGAGUCAACAACAUCAAGCAAAUUUUCAAGUUGCUUCUCUUGGAGCCAUCGGUCCUUGGUCAUAUUAUCAAAGAGAACAACUCUGUUUUUGCAUAGCUCAACAGUUUUCUAUACUCUGGGGCAUUAUUCAGCAUGCUCUUCAAUUUAUUUUCACCAACUAAAUCUCCAUAAGUAAAUACUAGUAUCAUGUGAUCAACAAUCUUCUCUCCGAAAAACUCUUUAAUUGUCUCAAUGGUACUGGAAUCUUCUCGAGUAAAACGAGAUGUGGCAGAAAAAACCAUCAGCACUGCAUGUAUCCCAUCCUUGGCCAUACUCAUACACUUAACAAUUUCUUUACCGGCAUCCUCAGAUGUAAUGGUCAUUUCAAAUAAUCCUGGCGUAUCAAUAACAUUGAGGGUACGGCCAUCCUUUAGCGCGGUGCUGGCCAAUUGACAAGUACUGGUCACACUAGCAUGGGAGUACUCUGAUACAAAUGCUUCUCUUCCAACGAUGCUAUUGCCAGUUGCGCUCUUGCCACAGCCAAGUUUGCCGCAAAGAACUACAGUGAUGUCAGCGCUAGGCAACUCCCAGUCAUCAUCGUAUUCGCUUCCUCCCAUUGCAA
rnacentral:sRNA from 1 species